rnacentral:rRNA from 1 species
GUCUACGACCGUAUCACCCUGAACGUGCCCGAUCUCGUCUGAUCUCGGAAGCUAAGCAGGGUCAGGCCUGGUUAGUACUUGGAUGAGAGAGAGGGGGAGAGGGGAGGUGAGAGA